GGUCCUAAGGUAGCGAAAUUCCUUGUCGGGUAAGUUCCGACCCGCACGAAAGGCGUAACGAUUUGGGCACUGUCUCAACAACAGACUCGGUGAAAUUGUAAUUCCGGUGAAGAUGCCGGAUACCUGCGACAGGACGGAAAGACCCCAUGGAGCUUUACUGUAGCUUGACAUUGGGUCUUGGUACUACAUGUACAGGAUAGGUGGGAGGCUUUGAAACCAGGACGCCAGUUUUGGCGGAGCCAUCCUUGGGAUACCACCCUUGUAGUACUGGGACUCUAACCAUAGGCCAUGAAUCUGGUCUUGGGACACUGUCAGGUGGGCAGUUUGACUGGGGCGGUCGCCUCCCAAAAGGUAACGGAGGCGCUCAAAGGUUCUCUCAGUACGGUCGGAAAUCGUACGUAGAGUGUAAAGGCAAAAGAGAGCUUGAUUGCAAGACAUACAGGUCGAGCAAGGAUGAAAAUCGGACUUAGUGAUCCGGUGGUUCUGCGUGGAAGGGCCAUCGCUCAACGGAUAAAAGCUACCCUGGGGAUAACAGGCUUAUCUCCCCCAAGAGUCCACAUCGACGGGGAGGUUUGGCACCUCGAUGUCGGCUCAUCACAUCCUGGGGCUGUAGUAGGUCCCAAGGGUUGGGCUGUUCGCCCAUUAAAGUGGUACGCGAGCUGGGUUCAGAACGUCGUGAGACAGUUCGGUCCCUAUCCGUCGCAGGCGUAGGAAAUUUGAGAAGACCUGUCCUUAGUACGAGAGGACCGGGAUGGACGUACCUCUGGUGUACCAGUUGUUCUGCCAAGGGCAUGGCUGGGUAGCUAUGUACGGAAUGGAUAAGCGCUGAAAGCAUCUAAGCGCGAAGCCAACUUCAAGAUAAGAUUUCCCACCGCAAGGGUAAGACCCCAGAAAGACUAUCUGGUUGAUAGGUCGAAGGUGUAAGUGCAGCAAUGUAUUUAGCUUAUCGAUACUAAUAGGUCGAGGACUUGACCAA
rnacentral:rRNA from 2 species